AAUGAAAUCUGAGAUGAAAUAUGUGAAUAUCAAUGAACUUUCAGCUUUCAGAAUUUUUUUUUCUUUCUCAUUUUUCUUUUGUCUUAACUACUGUUAUAUCAUCACUCUCAGUCUAAGAUCAAUCACAUCCAUUUAAAGAAGAAAAGAGUUCAAGAAAGAUGAGUCUUUUUUUUU
rnacentral:ribozyme from 1 species